UGAUAUGUUUGGUUUAUUGGUGA
rnacentral:miRNA from 1 species